GCUUGUCUCAAAGAUUAAGCCAUGCAUGUCUAAGUAUAAAUCUUUUACUUUGAAACUGCGAACGGCUCAUUAUAUCAGUUAUAGUUUAUUUGAUAGUCCCUUACUACUUGGAUAACCGUAGUAAUUCUAGAGCUAAUACAUGCUGGUUAGCCUGACUUUUAGGAAGGGCUGUAUUUAUUAGAUAACAAACCAAUAUUCCUCGUGUCUAUUGUGAUGACUCAUAAUAACUGAUCGAAUCGCAUGGGCCUUGCCCGCGAUACAUCAUUCAAGUUUCUGCCCCAUCAGCUUUCGAUGGUAGUGUAUUGGACUACCAUGGCUUUAACGGGUAACGGAGGAUUAGGGUUCGAUUCCGGAGAGGGAGCCUGAGAAACGGCUACCACAUCUAAGGAAGGCAGCAGG
rnacentral:rRNA from 1 species